ACUGUGAUCCGGAGAUGUCUGAAUGGGGGAACCCAGCCAUCAUAAGAUGGUUAUCUUACACUGAAUACAUAGGUGUAAGAGGCGAACCAGGGGAACUGAAACAUCUAAGUACCCUGAGGAAAAGAAAUCAACCGAGAUUCCCUUAGUAGUGGCGAGCGAACGGGGACCAGCCCUUAAGUUGUAUUGAGAUUAGCGGAACGCUCUGGAAAGUGCGGCCAUAGUGGGUGAUAGCCCUGUACGCGAAAAUCCCUUUGCAAUGAAAUCGAGUAGGACGGGGCACGAGAAACCUUGUCUGAAUAUGGGGGGACCAUCCUCCAAGGCUAAAUACUACUGACUGACCGAUAGUGAACCAGUACCGUGAGGGAAAGGCGAAAAGAACCGCGGAGAGCGGAGUGAAAUAGAUCCUGAAACCGUAUGCGUACAAGCAGUGGGAGCCCACUUUGUUGGGUGACUGCGUACCUUUUGUAUAAUGGGUCAGCGACUUAUUUUCAGUGGCGAGCUUAACCGAAUAGGGGAGGCGUAGCGAAAGCGAGUCUUAAUAGGGCGUCUAGUCGCUGGGAAUAGACCCGAAACCGGGCGAUCUAUCCAUGGGCAGGUUGAAGGUUGGGUAACACUAACUGGAGGACCGAACCGACUACCGUUGAAAAGUUAGCGGAUGACCUGUGGAUCGGAGUGAAAGGCUAAUCAAGCUCGGAGAUAGCUGGUUCUCCUCGAAAGCUAUUUAGGUAGCGCCUCAUGUAUCACUGUAGGGGGUAGAGCACUGUUUCGGCUAGGGGGUCAUCCCGACUUACCAAACCGAUGCAAACUCCGAAUACCUACAAGUGCCGAGCAUGGGAGACACACGGCGGGUGCUAACGUCCGUCGUGAAAAGGGAAACAACCCAGACCGUCAGCUAAGGUCCCAAAGUCAUGGUUAAGUGGGAAACGAUGUGGGAAGGCUUAGACAGCUAGGAGGUUGGCUUAGAAGCAGCCACCCUUUAAAGAAAGCGUAAUAGCUCACUAGUCGAGUCGGCCUGCGCGGAAGAUGUAACGGGGCUCAAACCAUGCACCGAAGCUACGGGUAUCACUUAGGUGAUGCGGUAGAGGAGCGUUCUGUAAGCCUGUGAAGGUGAGUUGAGAAGCUUGCUGGAGGUAUCAGAAGUGCGAAUGCUGACAUGAGUAACGACAAUGGGUGUGAAAAACACCCACGCCGAAAGACCAAGGUUUCCUGCGCAACGUUAAUCGACGCAGGGUGAGUCGGUCCCUAAGGCGAGGCUGAAAAGCGUAGUCGAUGGAAAACAGGUUAAUAUUCCUGUACUUCUGGUUAUUGCGAUGGAGGGACGGAGAAGGCUAGGCCAGCUUGGCGUUGGUUGUCCAAGUUUAAGGUGGUAGGCUGAAAUCUUAGGUAAAUCCGGGGUUUCAAGGCCGAGAGCUGAUGACGAGUUACCCUUUAGGUGACGAAGUGGUUGAUGCCAUGCUUCCAAGAAAAGCUUCUAAGCUUCAGAUAACCAGGAACCGUACCCCAAACCGACACAGGUGGUUGGGUAGAGAAUACCAAGGCGCUUGAGAGAACUCGGGUGAAGGAACUAGGCAAAAUGGCACCGUAACUUCGGGAGAAGGUGCGCCGGUGAGGGUGAAGGACUUGCUCCGUAAGCUCAUGCCGGUCGAAGAUACCAGGCCGCUGCGACUGUUUAUUAAAAACACAGCACUCUGCAAACACGAAAGUGGACGUAUAGGGUGUGACGCCUGCCCGGUGCCGGAAGGUUAAUUGAUGGGGUUAGCGCAAGCGAAGCUCUUGAUCGAAGCCCCGGUAAACGGCGGCCGUAACUAUAACGGUCCUAAGGUAGCGAAAUUCCUUGUCGGGUAAGUUCCGACCUGCACGAAUGGCGUAACGAUGGCGGCGCUGUCUCCACCCGAGACUCAGUGAAAUUGAAAUCGCUGUGAAGAUGCAGUGUAUCCGCGGCUAGACGGAAAGACCCCGUGAACCUUUACUAUAGCUUUGCACUGGACUUUGAAUUUGCUUGUGUAGGAUAGGUGGGAGGCUUUGAAGCGUGGACGCCAGUUCGCGUGGAGCCAACCUUGAAAUACCACCCUGGCAACUUUGAGGUUCUAACUCAGGUCCGUUAUCCGGAUCGAGGACAGUGUAUGGUGGGUAGUUUGACUGGGGCGGUCUCCUCCUAAAGAGUAACGGAGGAGUACGAAGGUGCGCUCAGACCGGUCGGAAAUCGGUCGUAGAGUAUAAAGGCAAAAGCGCGCUUGACUGCGAGACAGACACGUCGAGCAGGUACGAAAGUAGGUCUUAGUGAUCCGGUGGUUCUGUAUGGAAGGGCCAUCGCUCAACGGAUAAAAGGUACUCCGGGGAUAACAGGCUGAUACCGCCCAAGAGUUCAUAUCGACGGCGGUGUUUGGCACCUCGAUGUCGGCUCAUCACAUCCUGGGGCUGAAGCCGGUCCCAAGGGUAUGGCUGUUCGCCAUUUAAAGUGGUACGCGAGCUGGGUUUAGAACGUCGUGAGACAGUUCGGUCCCUAUCUGCCGUGGACGUUUGAGAUUUGAGAGGGGCUGCUCCUAGUACGAGAGGACCGGAGUGGACGAACCUCUGGUGUUCCGGUUGUCACGCCAGUGGCAUUGCCGGGUAGCUAUGUUCGGAAAAGAUAACCGCUGAAAGCAUCUAAGCGGGAAACUUGCCUCAAGAUGAGAUCUCACUGGAACCUUGA
rnacentral:rRNA from 1 species